UAGGGAAUCUUCGGCAAUGGGGGCAACCCUGACCGAGCAACGCCGCGUGAGUGAAGAAGGUUUUCGGAUCGUAAAGCUCUGUUGUAAGAGAAGAACGUGUGUGAGAGUGGAAAGUUCACACAGUGACGGUAACUUACCAGAAAGGGACGGCUAACUACGUGCCAGCAGCCGCGGUAAUACGUACGUCCCGAGCGUUGUCCGGAUUUAUUGGGCGUAAAGCGAGCGCAGGCGGUUUCAUAAGUCUCAAGUUAAAGGCAGUGGCUUAACCAUUGUCAGCUUUGGAAACUGUUAAACUGGAGUGCCGAAGGGGAGAGUGGAAUUCCAUGUGUAGCGGUGAAAUGCGUAGAUAUAUGGAGGAACACCGGUGGCGAAAGCGGCUCUCUGGUCUGUAACUGACGCUGAGGCUCGAAAGCGUGGGGAGCAAACAGG
rnacentral:rRNA from 1 species